rnacentral:lncRNA from 1 species
CAUUAAUAAUGACACGUUUUCCUUUUUGGGUUUUCCCGCUAUUGAUGGCACGUUUUCUAUUUUGGAAAAAAUAAGGGAGUGAUUAAUGUUAAUUAAAACCCUAAUUAAAACAACUUAAAAAAAAAACAACUCGCUGCCUCUCUUCUCACUCUCACUCUUAACUCUCUCUCUCUCUCUCCCGAUUACCCUCACUCUCUCUCAGCUGCUACACCCUCGCCGCCUCUUCUCCGGUGACUCCGCGUCCACCCACCGCCUCCGCGUCCACCCACCCUCCUCCGCCACCUUCUCCUGCCCUCUCUACCCUCUUCUUCAUCCC